UGCGCCGUGGAGCAGUGGUUAGCUCGCCAGGCUCAUAACCUGGAGGUCGUAGGUUCGAUCCCUGCCGGCGUAA
rnacentral:tRNA from 1 species